UGGGGAAUAUUGCACAAUGGGCGCAAGCCUGAUGCAGCCAUGCCGCGUGAGGGAUGACGGCCUUCGGGUUGUAAACCUCUUUUAGCAGGGAAGAAGCGAAAGUGACGGUACCUGCAGAAAAAGCGCCGGCUAACUACGUGCCAGCAGCCGCGGUAAUACGUAGGGCGCAAGCGUUAUCCGGAAUUAUUGGGCGUAAAGAGCUCGUAGGCGGUUUGUCGCGUCUGCUGUGAAAUCCCGAGGCUCAACCUCGGGUCUGCAGUGGGUACGGGCAGACUAGAGUGCGGUAGGGGAGAUUGGAAUUCCUGGUGUAGCGGUGGAAUGCGCAGAUAUCAGGAGGAACACCGAUGGCGAAGGCAGAUCUCUGGGCCGUAACUGACGCUGAGGAGCGAAAGGGUGGGGAGCAAACAGGCUUAGAUACCCUGGUAGUCCACCCCGUAAACGUUGGGAACUAGUUGUGGGGUCCAUUCCACGGAUUCCGUGACGCAGCUAACGCAUUAAGUUCCCCGCCUGGGGAGUACGGCCGCAAGGCU
rnacentral:rRNA from 1 species